rnacentral:rRNA from 1 species
AGUCGUAACAAGGUUUCCGUAGGUGAAUCUGCGGAAGGAUCAUUAGUGAAUAUAGGACGUCCAACUUAACUUGGAGUCCGAACUCUCACUUUCUAACCCUGUGCACUUGUUUGGGAUAGUAACUCUCGCAAGAGAGCGAACUCCUAUUCACUUAUAAACACAAAGUCUAUGAAUGUAUUAAAUUUUAUAACAAAAUAAAACUUUCAACAACGGAUCUCUUGGCUCUCGCAUCGAUGAAGAACGCAGCGAAAUGCGAUAAGUAAUGUGAAUUGCAGAAUUCAGUGAAUCAUCGAAUCUUUGAACGCACCUUGCGCUCCAUGGUAUUCCGUGGAGCAUGCCUGUUUGAGUGUCAUGAAUACUUCAACCCUCCUCUUUCUUAAUGAUUGAAGAGGUGUUUGGUUUCUGAGCGCUGCUGGCCUUUACGGUCUAGCUCGUUCGUAAUGCAUUAGCAUCCGCAAUCGAACUUCGGAUUGACUUGGCGUAAUAGACUAUUCGCUGAGGAAUUCUAGUCUUCGGAUUAGAGCCGGGUUGGGUUAAAGGAAGCUUCUAAUCAGAAUGUCUACAUUUUAAGAUUAGAUCUCAAAUCAGGUAGGACUACCCGCUGAACUUAAGCAUAUCAAUAUAAAAGUCG